GCUGAGUUUGCGCUGUGUGCUGUUUAUUCGGUGAGGAAUGUUUCUCAGUCUCUCUCACGUUUAUCUCCUGUGCAGUCUCUAUGAGAAGUGAUGAGAGCGAGAGUUAUGUGGUGUCUAACGGCUUCAGCUCUGCCUUACUGCCUUGCUCACCUGACGCUGGGAGGGAAAACAAAUCCGCUAAAUGGUAUUGGUACUCCAUCUCAGGGAAGGAAGAACUAAACUUGUGUGAGAUAACUGAAGACAGCUCUGCGUGUGACGACACUCAUGAUAAGGACAUAUCAGUGGCUGAUUCCAACGCUUUCCAGUCAGGGGAUCUCUCCCUGUUACUCACACCCACAAUGAGUCUGGCUGGCGAGUAACAGUGCAUUGUUUAUAAAAAAAGAAGAAAAAAUUGCGUAUACAUGCAUCGUCCAUCUGAUAGUGUUUCACCUGUCUGUGUCUACUGAGAUCUCUCUGACCGCAGGUGGACGGCUGGCUCUCACAUGUCAAAUCUCACACCCUGGUUAUUUUAACACCAAACCCACAUUUCAUGGAGACGGCACAAUUAGUUCGGAUGAAAUUGAGGUACAGUGGACACAUGAUGGCAAUCUGAUUUUCGCUGACAGUCGUCACUCUCUGGAUUUUAGAAGCUUAAACAUCAGCAAACUUGAACUCAAAGAUUCUGGAUCAUAUCGUUAUACUUUCAAGAUAAAAGGUCUCACCCAUUCCUUCCAGGAAAUUUACGUGACGGUUCGAUCAGCUAUGCCAACCAUACACUCAACUUCAAAGGAGACGAGCAAAGGAACAAGAGCUAUCUCAACCAUACUCCCAACUUCAAAGGAGAUGAGCAAUGGCACAAGUGGUAAGAUAUUAAGAACAACAUUAUUUAACGAAUUGAGUUGCACGACGCAGAUGGAUGGAGAUUUCGAUUUGUCAGCGGAAUGAUUGAGUUUCUAGAUGUAGGUGGACAGAGAAUAGUGGAAAUCAGUGUGUGGAUUGAAGUGCAAGAGGGAAAUGGAUAGAGACUUGAGGGACAGGGGGUGGAUUCAUGGUCAAGAGGUAGAUAGAUUGAGACUUCGGAGAGCAUUGAAUGUAUUGAGCUGUUAAGGAGUGUUAAACAGAAACUCUUGGAAGUCAAGGGAUGGCAUGGCAUGUGAGAUGGAGAUGGACAAAGAUUUGCGGAAGUCAGUAGAUGGAUGAGGUGACAGGGAUAAGGAUAGAUAUGUGGGGGAUCAGGUGAUAGACUGUGGUGUGAGAGGAUGAUGGAUAGAGAAUUGAAGUGUUAGGGGAUCCAUUGAGGUGGGGGAGACUGCAGA